rnacentral:rRNA from 1 species
CCUACGGGGUGCUGCAGUGGGGAAUAUUGGACAAUGGGCGAAAGCCUGAUCCAGCCAUGCCGCGUGUGUGAAGAAGGCCUUCGGGUUGUAAAGCACUUUCAGUGGGGAAGAAAGCCUUGGGGCUAAUACCCUCGAGGAAGGACAUCACCCACAGAAGAAGCACCGGCUAACUCCGUGCCAGCAGCCGCGGUAAUACGGAGGGUGCGAGCGUUAAUCGGAAUUACUGGGCGUAAAGCGCGCGUAGGCGGUCUGAUAAGCCGGUUGUGAAAGCCCCGGGCUCAACCUGGGAACGGCAUCCGGAACUGUCAGGCUAGAGUGCAGGAGAGGAAGGUAGAAUUCCCGGUGUAGCGGUGAAAUGCGUAGAGAUCGGGAGGAAUACCAGUGGCGAAGGCGGCCUUCUGGACUGACACUGACGCUGAGGUGCGAAGGCGUGGGUAGCAAACAGGAUUAGAUACCCUAGUAGUC